GAUGAAGAACGCAGCGAAAUGCGAUAAGUAAUGUGAAUUGCAGAAUUCCGUGAAUCAUCGAAUCUUUGAACGCACAUUGCGCCCGCCAGCAUUCUGGCGGGCAUGCCUGUCCGAGCGUCACUCUCCACCCGUCAAGCCCGGCUUGUGUUGGGGCACUGCGGCCGCCGCAGGCCCCCAAAUGGAGUGGCGGGACCGCCCCCCGCCUCGAGCGCAGUACAGCACCUCGCUCCGGCGCGCGGGCGGCCCCCGGCCGUAAAGCCCCCCACCUUGUACAGGAUGACCUCGGAUCAGGUAGGAAUACCCGCUGAACUUAAGCAUAUCAAUAAGCGGAGGA
rnacentral:misc_RNA from 1 species